AAACAAACUUCCACGAAGCAAUAUCGACUUUUCAAUCAUAUUACCUGAGCCUUUUCAAUGCACAAACCGUGGCGAUACGUGAAACUUGGUCACGUGAAGACACGUUUACAUUCAGAUGUGGUUCACUAAGUUUCUGGGCUCGCAGAAGUGUCAAGGUAAACUGAAAUAUAUGCCAUCGCUCUGGAUUCGGAAGUGAGCCAUUUGGCUAUCGCGACCUGACAGUUCCAGGAACAACACUCAGUGCACCAGAGACGUUUGGGCUCGCUUCGUCGUCAAGGUUGUGAUCUACUGUCGUCAAUGGUGUGAUUGACUUAUAACUGUCGCCAGUGUUUGUUGAAGUUGUCAGGAGCAGAUAUAGUUUGGAGCGAAAAAGAUUGCAUGUCUUUAAGGGGUCCAGGAAAGCUAACCUGUGUCUAAGAAACAUCUCAGCACAGAUUGAAUGAAGGAAUCCUGACAAAACCAAAAUGUCACUCCAGUUUACAUGCUGCUGCAGGUCCACUCAGACCACUAAAAGAAAAAAGUAAUCAUGGCUAA